CCUACGGGAGGCAGCAGUGGGGAAUAUUGCACAAUGGAGGCAACCCUGACGCAGCGACGCCGCGUGAGUGAAGAAGGAAUUCGUUAUGUAAAGCUCUAUCAGCAGGGAAGAAAAUGACGGUAACUGAGUAAGAAGCGUCGGCGAACUACGUGCCAGCAGCCGCGGUAAUACGUAGGGGGCAAGCGUUAUCCGGAUUUACUGGGUGUAAAGGGAGCGUAGACGGCAGUGCAAGUCUGGAGUGAAAGCCGGCGGCUCAACCGCCGGACGUCACUGGAAACUGUACGGCUGGAGUGCAGGAGAGGAGAGUGGAAUUCCUAGUGUAGCGGUGAAAUGCGUAGAUAUCACGAGGAACACCAGUGGCGAAGGCGGCUGACUGGACUGCAACUGACGUUGAGGCUCGAAAGUGUGGGGAGCAAACAGGAUUAGAUACCCGAGUAGUC
rnacentral:rRNA from 1 species